UACGUGCCAGCAGCCGCGGUAAUACGUAGGUCUCAAGCGUUAUCCGGAUUUACUGGGCGUAAAGUGUCCGUAGUCUGAAUUGUAAGUCUGUUUUCAAAUCCUACGACUCAAUCGUAGAAAGGGAGUGGAUACUGCAAUUCUGGAAGUAUCUGGGGGUUAGUGGAAUUUCCGGUGGAGCGGUGAAAUGCGUUGAUAUCGGAAGGAACGCCGAAAGCGAAAGCAGCUAACUACAGAAUACUUGACGAUGAGGGACGACAGUUCGGGUAGCAAACAGGAUUAGAUACCCUGGUAGACCGUAAAUUAUGCUUGCUAGAUGUUUUUGUCAAUUUAUUGGCAGGAGUGUCGUAAUCUAACGAGUUAAGCAAGUCGCCUGGGUAGUAUAUUCGCAAGAAUGAAACUCAAAGGGAUAGGCGGGGGAACACACAAGCAGUGGAUUAUCUAGAUUAAUUGGAUAAUAAGCCAAGAAUCUUACCUAGGAUUGACAUGUAUUGUGUCUGCGGUGAAAGUCGCAUAUCCGUAGCAAUACGGAGCUUUACACAGAUGGUGCAUGGUCGUCGUCAGCUCGUGCCGCAAGGUGUCUAGUUAAGUCUGGAAACGAGCGCAACCCUCAUGCUUAGUUAGUAUGUCUAAGCAGACUGCUCGGGUAACCGAGAGGAAGGAGAGGAUGACGUCAGAUCCUCAUGCCUCUUACACCUAGGGCCUCAUAGAUAAUACAAUGGGUAGGUACAGCGAGAAGCAAGACCGCGAGGUGGAGCAAAUCUUUAAAACUACCCCUAGUUCGGAUUGUAGUCUGGAACUCGACUACAUGAAGUUGGAAUUGCUAGUAAUGGCAGAUCAGCCAUGCUGCCGUGAAUAUGUCCCUGUUCCUUGCACUCACCGCCCGUCAAACCAUGGGAGCUGAGGUUCUUUGAAGACUCAUUAUAUGGGUUAAGGAGGAAAUCAGUGACUGGGGUUAAGUCGUAACAAGGCAUCCCUACCGGAAGGUGGGGAUA
rnacentral:rRNA from 1 species